GAUGAACGCUAGCGGCAGGCCUAAUACAUGCAAGUCGAACGGUGUAGCAAUACACAGUGGCGCACGGGUGCGUAACACGUAUGCAACCUACCUAUUAUUGGGGGAUAGCCUUUGGAAACGGAGAUUAAUACCGCAUAAGACAGUGACAUGGCAUCAUGUAGCUGUUAAAGCUUCGGCGAUAAUAGAUGGGCAUGCGUGCAAUUAGUUAGUUGGUGAGGUAACGGCUCGCCAAGACGAUGAUUGGUAGGGGACCUGAGAGGAUAAUCCCCCACACUGGCACUGAGGUACGGGCCAGACUCCUACGGGAGGCAGCAGUAGGGAAUAUUGGGCAAUGGGCGGAAGCCUGACCCAGCCAUGCCGCGUGCAGGAUGACGGCGUUAUGCGUUGUAAACUGCUUUUUUAUAGGAAGAAGAAGCCCUUGCGAGGGAAAGUGACGGUACCGUAAGAAUAAGCACCGGCUAACUACGUGCCAGCCGCCGCAGUAAAAC
rnacentral:rRNA from 1 species